CUUACUUCAUAUUUUUCCUUGGAGAGGGGUGGAGAAAGUUGCUGAAAACUACCUUUCACUAUUGCAAUUUGCUCAGGUGAUAAUACUGGAACAAUUUUUUAUAAUCACAAAAUUGGAUGCUACAUAUAUGUUGAGAAACCAAGAUAUCACAUAAGCAGCUUAGAAAAAAUGGUAUCUUUCUGACCACAGAGCAGUUUCUCUAUCAUCUCUGCCUAAGAGGAAGUAUUACAAGACAAUGAAACAGCAGUUUUGAAUAAAAUAAACCAAUUUUUGUUAUUCUAAGAUCUUAGAAUCAAGAAGCAUUUAAAAGAGGGUACAAGAGGAAGAAAAAUUUUGUAGGAAGAAAAAAUGUGCAUGAAGAAAACAAAGGACAAAGAAUUUUGAAUCACUUGAAAAGAUACUGAGUUAAAGAAAGAGGUCUCUGGAACCAAAUUCCAGGUACAGGACCCAAGAAAAUGACACACCUGGAGAGGAAGAACCAGAGAGACUUCGAAAAUGCAUACUGGCCACCCCUCUCUGGGACCUUGAAACUUGUACUACAGAUGUACUUGCAGGUAGACUAAGGAUUGGCUCCUCUCACUGGACAUUGAAUAGCACAGACAGGUGGCUCAGCUGUAGGAAGUUUGUGUAGUCAGAAGUCUCACAAAUGCAGCCUCUUAAGGCAAAUCCCACCUCCCCCAAUUUCUCAUCAUCUCAUAAGAACAUUUUACUUUAUCUCAUUGUCAGAUUGUGUUCUUGUUUUUUUUUUUUUUUUUCCAUCUUGUUAGGAUGGGGACUCAGAAUCAGAAAUCAAGUAGAGUUAUGGGGAAAAAAAAUGACAUUCCAUUUUAUACUUCAUUUUCUAAUAUGGAUUUACCCUUUUUCAAUUCUAUGCUCUGCAAAUAAAAUUCAGGUAUUAAUUGACACAAAUUAAUCUACACAAUCAAAAGGUUUUCUUUUAAAGAAGUAUAUGUCAAAAUUGAUAUAUCUGAGGCUUAUACAAAAAACUAACAGAUUCCAUGGAUAAUUCAGUAGCCUGGAUAAUGAUGUGAUCUUCCUAAUACUCUGGCUACAUGGUCUAGUUUUACAAACAUAUCUGCCAUGCCCUGUGACAUUUCAUGUUGUUCCAGCCAAUUCCUCUUUCACUCAUACCAGUGUGACUUGCUUUCUAUUGCUUUUUAUCAAUUUACCCUUGGUGACAAUGUUUAGUCUGAAAUUUUACUUCUUAGCUGUUACUCUGACUUUAUAAAAUAACAUUACACUUAUAUUCUCCCCACAAAGGAUCUGUUUAUUUAUGUAAAAUCAUACACGAUAACUACUUUUUAUUAUGGUAAAAUAUACAUGACAUAAAUUCUACAACAUUAACCAUUUCUAAGUGUGCAGCCUAGUUCAUUUAGGACCUUCACGUUGUUGUAUGAGUUCACACCAAUCAUCUCCAGAAAGUCUCCGUCUUCCCGAACUGAAACUUUAUGUCCAUUAAGCAACGACUCACCAUUUCGUCUUGCCUCCUGUUCCUUGCCUCCACCCUUCCAUUUUUCAUUGUUUCAUUUUAUCACUUCUAGGUGUGUUAUAGUGUUGGUCCUAUGGUGAUGGCUUAUUUUAUUUAACAUAAUACUGGCUUCGAGGGCCGGGGAUUUAGCUCAGUGUUUUCGCCGCCUGCUGCACAAGCUCAAGCACCCGAGUUCGAUCCCUGGAACCAAAAAACAAAACAAAAUAAAAAAAAUUGGCUUAAAGUUUCAGCCAUCUUAUAGUAUUGUCAACAUGAAUAUUUUUUCUUUUUAAGGAUGAAUAGUACCUCAUUUUAUGUAUCCAUUAUAUUUGAAUUAUCCAUUGAUUUAUAUUUUGGGUGUUUCCACCUUUGUUUAUGGUAAAUAAGGGUACUAAGUACACCUCUGUAUAGCAUAUUAACAUGUUGUUUUCUGAAUUAAUUAUACCCUUUUACAUUUCUUUUCUUAUCAAACUUGAUUUCCUCUUUCCCACUGGGCUAUAAGUGACAUUUAAGACAGUAAUUCUAUAACUAUUUCACAACCACUGGUACAUAGAAGCCAUAGUAACACUUGUUAAGUAAACAAGGAAAUAAAUUAUAUUGUGCAUAAAAUCUGACUUGAUUGGUCACACUUUCUUCCCUUAAAAUAUGUGGAUUUUCCUUAGUUGUUUCUAAAACUUAAUAUACAAUAUUUGUUAUUCUGAG